rnacentral:rRNA from 1 species
GACGAACCGUCCAAACGUUAUUCGGAAUCACUGGGCUUACAGAGUUCGUAGGCGGUCUGGAAAGUUGGGUGUGAAAUCCCUCGGCUCAACCGAGGAACUGCGCUUGAAACUACCAGACUCGAGGGAGAUAGAGGAAAGCGGAACUGAUGGUGGAGCGGUGAAAUGCGUUGAUAUCAUCAGGAACACCGGUGGCGAAGGCGGCUUUCUGGGUCUUUCCUGACGCUGAGGAACGAAAGCUAGGGGAGCGAACGGG